rnacentral:rRNA from 1 species
AGAGUUUGAUCAUGGCUCAGAAUCAACGCUGGCGGCGCGCUUAACACAUGCAAGUCGAACGAGAAAGCGGGAGCAAUCCUGCAAGUACAGUGGCGUACGGGUGAGUAACACGUGGAUUAUCUGCCCUGGAGUGGGGAAUAACGCUGGGAAACCGGCGCUAAUACCGCAUAUUCCCGAGAGGGGAAAGCAGCAAUGCGCUCGAGGAGGAGUCCGCGGCUGAUUAGCUAGUUGGUAGGGUAACGGCCUACCAAGGCUAUGAUCGGUAGCCGGCCUGAGAGGGCACACGGCCACACUGGCACUGAAACACGGGCCAGACUCCUACGGGAGGCAGCAGUGGGGAAUCUUGCACAAUGGGGGCAACCCUGAUGCAGCGACGCCGCGUGAGCGAUGAAGCCCUUCGGGGUGUAAAGCUCUUUCGGCAGGGAAGAUUAUGACGGUACCUGCAGAAGCAGCUGCGGCUAACUACGUGCCAGCAGCCGCGGUAAUACGUAGGCAGCAAGCGUUGUUCGGAGUUACUGGGCGUAAAGGGUGUGUAGGCGGCCUUCUAAGUUUGGUGUGAAAUCUCCCGGCUCAACCGGGAGGGUGCGCCGAAGACUGGGGGGCUAGAGUGCGGGAUGGGAGAGUAGAAUUCCUGGUGUAGCGGUGAAAUGCGUAGAUAUCAGGAGGAAUACCUGUGGUGUAGACGGCUCUCUGGACCGCAACUGACGCUGAGACACGAAAGCGUGGGUAGCAAACAGGAUUAGAUACCCUAGUAGUCC